rnacentral:rRNA from 1 species
ACAGCAGUAGCCGCGGUAAAACGUAGGUGGCAAGCGUUGUCCGGAAUUAUUGGGCGUAAAGGGCUCGCAGGCGGUUUCUUAAGUCUGAUGUGAAAGCCCCCGGCUCAACCGGGGAGGGUCAUUGGAAACUGGGAAACUUGAGUGCAGAAGAGGAGAGUGGAAUUCCACAUGUAGCGGUGAAAUGCGUAGAGAUGUGGAGGAACACCAGUGGCGAAGGCGACUCUCUGGUCUGUAACUGACGCUGAGGAGCGAAAGCGUGGGGAGCGAACAGGAUUAGAUACCCGCGUAGUCCCUGUCUCUUAUAC